rnacentral:rRNA from 1 species
AUGCAGUCGAGCGGAACGAUCUCUUCGGAGAGGCGUCGAGCGGCGGACGGGUGAGUAACGCGUAGGAAUCUACCUAGUAGUGGGGGAUAGCCCGAGGAAACUCGGAUUAAUACCGCAUACGCUCUACGGAGGAAAGUGGGCUUCGGCUCACGCUAUUGGAUGAGCCUGCGUGGGAUUAGCUAGUUGGUGAGGUAAAGGCUCACCAAGGCGACGAUCUCUAGCUGGUCUGAGAGGAUGAUCAGCCACACUGGGACUGAGACACGGCCCAGACUCCUACGGGAGGCAGCAGUGGGGAAUAUUGCACAAUGGGCGCAAGCCUGAUGCAGCCAUGCCGCGUGUGUGAAGAAGGCCUUCGGGUUGUAAAGCACUUUCAGUGGUGAGGAAGGAGUGGUAGUUAAUACCUGCCACUAUUGACGUUAGCCACAGAAGAAGCACCGGCUAACUCCGUGCCAGCAGCCGCGGUAAUACG